rnacentral:piRNA from 1 species
CAGCCUUUAUUGCAGGAACGC